GGUAUCCUGUCUGAAUAUGGGGGGACCAUCCUCCAAGGCUAAAUACUCCUGACUGACCGAUAGUGAACCAGUACCGUGAGGGAAAGGCGAAAAGAACCCCGGCGAGGGGAGUGAAAAAGAACCUGAAACCGUGUACGUACAAGCAGUGGGAGCACGCUUAGGCGUGUGACUGCGUACCUUUUGUAUAAUGGGUCAGCGACUUAUAUUCUGUAGCAAGGUUAACCGAAUAGGGGAGCCGAAGGGAAACCGAGUCUUAACUGGGCGUUAAGUUGCAGGGUAUAGACCCGAAACCCGGUGAUCUAGCCAUGGGCAGGUUGAAGGUUGGGUAACACUAACUGGAGGACCGAACCGACUAAUGUUGAAAAAUUAGCGGAUGACUUGUGGCUGGGGGUGAAAGGCCAAUCAAACCGGGAGAUAGCUGGUUCUCCCCGAAAGCUAUUUAGGUAGCGCCUCGUGAAUUCAUCUCCGGGGGUAGAGCACUGUUUCGGCAAGGGGGUCAUCCCGACUUACCAACCCGAUGCAAACUGCGAAUACCGGAGAAUGUUAUCACGGGAGACACACGGCGGGUGCUAACGUCCGUCGUGAAGAGGGAAACAACCCAGACCGCCAGCUAAGGUCCCAAAGUCAUGGUUAAGUGGGAAACGAUGUGGGAAGGCCCAGACAGCCAGGAUGUUGGCUUAGAAGCAGCCAUCAUUUAAAGAAAGCGUAAUAGCUCACUGGUCGAGUCGGCCUGCGCGGAAGAUGUAACGGGGCUAAACCAUGCACCGAAGCUGCGGCAGCGACGCUGAUGCGUUGUUGGGUAGGGGAGCGUUCUGUAAGCCUGCGAAGGUGUGCUGUGAGGCAUGCUGGAGGUAUCAGAAGUGCGAAUGCUGACAUAAGUAACGAUAAAGCGGGUGAAAAGCCCGCUCGCCGGAAGACCAAGGGUUCCUGUCCAACGUUAAUCGGGGCAGGGUGAGUCGACCCCUAAGGCGAGGCCGAAAGGCGUAGUCGAUGGGAAACAGGUUAAUAUUCCUGUACUUGGUGUUACUGCGAAGGGGGGACGGAGAAGGCUAUGUUGGCCGGGCGACGGUUGUCCCGGUUUAAGCGUGUAGGCUGGUUUUCCAGGCAAAUCCGGAAAAUCAAGGCUGAGGCGUGAUGACGAGGCACUACGGUGCUGAAGCAACAAAUGCCCUGCUUCCAGGAAAAGCCUCUAAGCAUCAGGUAACAUCAAAUCGUACCCCAAACCGACACAGGUGGUCAGGUAGAGAAUACCAAGGCGCUUGAGAGAACUCGGGUGAAGGAACUAGGCAAAAUGGUGCCGUAACUUCGGGAGAAGGCACGCUGAUAUGUAGGUGAAGUCCCUCGCGG
rnacentral:rRNA from 1 species